UACGGGGGGGGCAAGCGUUGUUCGGAAUUACUGGGCGUAAAGGGCGCGUAGGCGGUCUACUAAGUUGGAUGUGAAAACUCUGGGCUUAACCCAGAGCCUGCAUUCAAAACUGAUAGGCUGGAGUUCUGGAGGGGAUAGCGGAAUUCCUGGUGUAGCGGUGAAAUGCGUAGAUAUCGGGAGGAACACCAAUGGCGAAGGCAGCUCGCUGGGACGGUACUGACGCUGAGACGCGAAAGCGUGGGGAGCGAACGAGG
rnacentral:rRNA from 1 species